UCGGGAAUUUUGGGCAAUGGGCGCAAGCCUGAUCCAGCCAUGCCGCGUGCAGGAAGAAGGCGUUAUGCGUUGUAAACUGCUUUUGCCAGGGGAUAAAAUGACUGUGCGCAGUUAAUUGAAGGUACCUGGUGAAUAAGCCACGGCUAACUACGUGCCAGCAGCCGCGGUAAUACGUAGGUGGCAAGCGUUGUCCGGAUUUAUUGGGUUUAAAGGGUGCGUAGGCGGCCCUGUAAGUCAGUGGUGAAAUAUCUCAGCUUAACUGAGAGGGUGCCAUUGAUACUGCAGGGCUUGAGUACAGAUGAGGUAGGCGGAAUUGACGGUGUAGCGGUGAAAUGCAUAGAUAUCGUCAAGAACACCGAUAGCGAAGGCAGCUUACCAAGCUGUAACUGACGCUGAGGCACGAAAGUGUGGGGAUCAAACAGGAUUAGAUACCCCCGUAGUCCCUGAGCGGGCUGGCAAGGCGCAU
rnacentral:rRNA from 1 species